AUUGAACGCUGGCGGCAGGCCUAACACAUGCAAGUCGAGCGGAUGAAGCGAGCUUGCUCCUGGUUUCAGCGGCGGACGGGUGUGUAAUGCCUAGGAAUCUGCCUGGGAUUUGGGGAUAACGUCCGGAAACGGGCGCUAAUACCGCAUACGUCCUUAGGGAGAAAGUGUGGGAUCUUCGGACCUUACGCUAUCGGAUGAGCCUAGGUCGGAUUAGCUAGUUGGUGGGGUAAAGGCCUACCAAGGCGACGAUCCGUAACUGGUCUGAGAGGAUGACCAGUCACACUGGAACUGAGCCACGGUCAAGACUACUACGGGAGGCAGCAGUGGGGAAUAUUGGACAAUGGGCGAAAGCCUGAUCCAGCCAGGCCGCGUGUGUGAAGAAGGUCUUCGGAUUGUAAAGAACUUUAAGUUGGGAGGAAGGGCAGUAAGUUAAUACCUUGCUGUUUUGACGUUACCAACAGAAUAAGCACCGGCUAACUUCGUG
rnacentral:rRNA from 1 species